rnacentral:rRNA from 1 species
UACGUAGGGACCGAGCGUUGUCCGGAUUCAUUGGGCGUAAAGAGCUCGUAGGCGGCUGCUCAAGUCGAAUGUGAAAACUCGAGGCUCAACCUCGAGCCUGCAUUCGAUACUGGGCGGCUAGAGUCUGGUAGGGGGAUCUGGAAUUCCUGGUGUAGCGGUGGAAUGCGCAGAUAUCAGGAGGAACACCGGUGGCGAAGGCGGGAUCCUGGGCCGAACCUGACGCUGAGGCGCGAAGGCUAGGGGAGCGAACGGG